UGCCCAGCAACUCCUUUCCCUAUCUCCGCAUGGCACCAUCCGGGCUGCGGGCAACCUUAGGGAAGAUCGGGUAACCAACCCCGGUGGGAACUUUGAUCGUUGCUGACAGGGAAGG
rnacentral:ribozyme from 1 species